UACGGGGGGAGCAAGCGUUGUUCGGAUUUACUGGACGUAAAGGGCGCGUAGGCGGCUUGACAAGUCCCGGGUGAAAUCCCUCGGCUCAACCGAGGAACUGCCUUGGAAACUGUCUGGCUUGAGGCCGGGAGAGGGUAGUGGAAUUCCCAGUGUAGCGGUGAAAUGCGUAGAUACUGGGAGGAACACCGGUGGCGAAGGCGGCUACCUGGACCGGUUCUGACGCUGAGGCGCCGAAAUGCGUGGGUAGCAAAG
rnacentral:rRNA from 1 species